UGAGUAACCUGCCCUUCACUCUGGGAUAACUCCGGGAAACCGGGGCUAAUACUGGAUAUGACUCGAACAGGCAUCUGUUUCGGGUGGAAAGAUUUUAUUGGUGGAGGGUGGACUCGCGGCCUAUCAGCUAGUUGGUGGGGUAAUGGCUCACCAAGGCAACGACGGGUAGCUGGUCUGAGAGGAUGGCCAGCCACAUUGGGACUGAGACACGGCCCAGACUCCGUACGGGGAGCAGCA
rnacentral:rRNA from 1 species